rnacentral:rRNA from 1 species
GAAGUUGGAAUCGCUAGUAAUCGUGGAUCAGCACGCCACGGUGAAUUUGUACCCGAGCUUUGGACACCUUGCCCGUCACAUUGCGGAAAUAAGUUCCGCUCGAAAAAUAAUUAGAAAUUUUCAGAUUUAUAAAAGAUUAGAAAUCUUCUAAAUAGUUAUAAAUUUUGAAAAUGUUUGACAAUAUUUCACAGUGAGGUUUAUAACUGCAAUGAAGUCGUAACAUGGUUAGGGUUGGGGAACCAGU